GACGAACGCUGGCGGCGUGCUUAACACAUGCAAGUCGAACGGAAAGGCCCUGCUUGCAGGGUGCUCGAGUGGCGAACGGGUGAGUAACACGUGGGUGAUCUGCCCCUUACUUUGGGAUAAGCCUGGGAAACUGGGUCUAAUACUGGAUAGGACCAUGCUGUAGGUGGUGUGGUGGAAAGAUUAGUUUCGGUAAGGGAUGAGCUCGCGGCCUAUCAGCUUGUUGGUGGGGUAAUGGCCUACCAAGGCGUCGACGGGUAGCCGGCCUGAGAGGGUGGACGGCGACAUUGGGACUGCGAUACGGCCCAGCAUCCUACGGGAGGCAGCAGUGGGGAAUAUUGCACAAUGGGCGCAAGCCUGAUGCAGCGACGCCGCGUGGGGGAUGACGGCCUUCGGGUUGUAAACUCCUUUCAGCCAUGACGAAGCCCUUGUGGUGACGGUAGUGGUAGAAGAAGCACCGGCUAACUACGUG
rnacentral:rRNA from 1 species